GGCUCGGUAGCUUAGUUGGUAAAGCGCUCGUCUGGUAUACAAGAGUCCUAGGUUCGAAUCCCAGCCGAGCAC
rnacentral:tRNA from 1 species